UACGAAGGGGGCGAGCGUUGUUCGGAAUCACUGGGCGUAAAGGGCGCGUAGGCGGCCCUUCUUGUCGCGUGUGAAAGCCCCGGGCUCAACCUGGGAAUGGCGAUGGAUACUGGCUCGCUAGAGUGCGGUAGAGGAGAGUGGAAUUCCCGGUGUAGCAGUGAAAUGCGUAGAGAUCGGGAGGAACAUCAGUUGCGAAGGCGGCUCUCUGGACCAGCACUGACACUGAGGCACGGAAAGCGUGGGGAGCAAACAGG
rnacentral:rRNA from 1 species